rnacentral:rRNA from 1 species
UACGUAGGGUGCAAGCGUUAAUCGGAAUUACUGGGCGUAAAGCGUGCGCAGGCGGUUUCGCAAGUCAGAUGUGAAAUCCCCGGGCUCAACCUGGGAACUGCAUUUGAAACUACGAGGCUCGAGUGUGUCAGAGGGGGGGUGGAAUUCCACGUGUAGCAGUGAAAUGCGUAGAGAUGUGGAGGAACACCAAUGGCGAAGGCAGCCCCCCUGGGAUAACACUGACGCUCAUGCACGAAAGCGUGGGGAGCAAACAGG